UAACACAAAGCGCCAAUCUUAUUCAUUUGACUUACGCUUAGCUUUAGACAGAGGAGGAUUAUAUUUAGACAGGAGAACUAGGUCGCUGUACAAUACUUAAGAUUAAUUUCGGGAAAAUAUGCUUUGUGGUUAAAAAGGUAAAUAACUUUGCUAGAACAUGAAACAAGAUUAUGACAGGGAAUACAUGUUCAGGGUGUUCUAAUAGGUGUAAACUAAAAGAUGCUAGUGAUAUUACACCUGGAACGCAUAUUACUGUACUCGGGGAAUCUCGAUCUCCUAUUACAAGCUCAGAGCUGUACGUCCACCAUGCUGUCGUAAAAGAUGUUGUGUCAAGUGAUAAUGACUCCGUCACGUUAGAAGUUAUUCACGCUACUGGAGUGAAAGACAAUGGCGGAAAUCUUAUACUCAUGGAAAAGAAAACGUAUCGAAUACGUGAUGUUACAAUUAUACGGCAUUCACACAUAUCUCUUGAUAAUAUACUUAAAAACGCAUUAAAUGACUUCAACAACCAAGUGGAGGAACGAGAAUACAACGUUUUAACUAACAACUGUGAACAUAUUGUUCAUAAAUGGUUGGAUACGGAGAAAAAAAGUCAUCAGGUCGAAUGGCUACUGAACAUGCUCAUCCACCAUUUCGGUAAAGUAAUUAUCGUUGGAUGUUCAUAUUGGUGCAAUUUGUAGACAACAACAGUGAACACAUUAUUCAUACAUGCUUUAACAGGCAUAAGAAAAGUCACACUACGAUGGGAAAGCACAGUCUCAGUCCUAUUAAAUGGCAAUAAGGCUCUAUUGGAUAUCUUAUCUAUACUUAAUCAUAUUUGACAUAGUGUCUCUAAGUAAACAUAACAAUCGUUAAUUUCCUCGAGAAGACUUAAAAUCUGAUGUAUGCCAAUUCAUUUCAGAGGAUUGUAUUCAACCGAGAAUGACCAUUGCUGAAAUGUUUUGGUCUAGAUAAAAUGUCUGUGUAAUACAAAUGAAAAUUGCUCAAUUACAGAUGAUUUAUUUGAACAAAAAGAACAAUGCCAAUAAGGCUAUUAUUCUGAUCACAAUCCUAUUUAACAGAUUUACGAACAAUAAUACCAAUUAGUAAUUUAUUCAUGUAUUCAUUUAUUUAUGACCUUUCUUUGUGUAUUUGACCUUUGCACAUGAUCCUUGUGCCUUUUGAACAAUGUCUGUAAGCUCGGCUCGGUAAGCAUAUUUUCUGCAUAGUUCUUCUCUGUUAGUUGCAUUGUUCUAUCUAAUUAGUAUAUAGGCCUUGAUACUAAACUGUUUAUGUACCUAA